UAAAUUUUAGUGUCAGUCAUUUUGGCUGGAUCGAGAAAUUUGAGUGAUCGAUAUUCAAUUCAUUUUCUAAUUUUAGUGAAAAAUUUAAUCCAUGCUUUGUUAUUAUACAUGUAAUUGGUAUUGUAUGAUUUAUUCUAUUUUUUUCUUUAACAGAAAAUGAAGGUAUAGUAGCUGACAUAUAGUGUACAUGUACCACUUGAAGAUUUGUCCCCCUUGUUGAUACAAGAAAUGCAAAGUGUACACAGAUACAUACACAUAAAAGGAGACAUCACCUCAUGAUCUGUGGAUCCAUUGAAAACUUUAAGGACAAAACUUUUGAUAAUUCAUUCAUGUAUAGAGUGUUGACUCGAAUAUUGAAUAUCUAAUGAAUGGAACCAAGAGAAUUAAUUUAAGAAGUAUUAUAUUGUAUAUUACUCUUUUUAUUCAUCUGUCAAAUUUCUUAAUUAAAAAUUAAACUUAAA